CCUGUCUACACAGGUCGGGAUGUGACUCCGCGGGCGGCGCUCGCGGGGUUGAACCAUACA
ncrna:unclassified sequences eL15-Euryarchaeota ribosomal protein leader